rnacentral:tRNA from 1 species
GCGCCCGUAGCUCAAUGGAUAGAGUAGCGGUCUUCGAAACCGUUGGUUGCGCGUUCGAAUCGCGCCGGGCGCACCA